AGCGAACGCUGGCGGCAGGCCUAACACAUGCAAGUCGAACGAAGUCUUCGGACUUAGUGGCGGACGGGUGAGUAACACGUGGGAACGUGCCUUUAGGUUCGGAAUAACUCAGGGAAACUUGUGCUAAUACCGAAUGUGCCCUUCGGGGGAAAGAUUUAUCGCCUUUAGAGCGGCCCGCGUCUGAUUAGCUAGUUGGUGAGGCAAAGGCCCACCAAGGCUACGAUCAGUAGCUGGUCUGAGAGGAUGACCAGCCACAUUGGGACUGAGACACGGCCCAAACUCCUACGGGAGGCAGCAGUGGGGAAUCUUGCGCAAUGGGCGAAAGCCUGACGCAGCCAUGCCGCGUGGAUGAUGAAGGUCUUAGGAUUGUAAAAUCCUUUCACCGGUGAAGAUAAUGACUGUAGCCGGAGAAGAAGCCCCGGCUAACUUCGUGCCAGCCACCGCCGUAAAAC
rnacentral:rRNA from 1 species